rnacentral:lncRNA from 1 species
UAUAUGGCUUGAAACAAGAACCUUGUGUAUGGUAUGAAAAAUUAAAUAAAUUUUUGCUUGAUAAUAAAUUUACAUGAAGAAAAAUAAGUACUAACUUAUUUUGAAAGAAAAGAGAUAAUAAUUUGUUAGUAAUUUAAAUCUAUAUAGAUGAUAUUAUAUUUCGUGUUAUUGAUAAAUCUCUUUGUCAAGAGUUUGCUAAGUUAAUACAUAUUGCCCAAAAAGAUAGCAACCCA